AGCAACAUGAUUUCAAUCAUACCAGUAAAUGCGUUUGAGGAUCUUGUGUUAUUGGAAUCUCUGUAAGUCUUAUUGUUACGAUAAAGAACGAGAUAAACUAUUUAAAAUAAUCGAACUCUAGGGUCGACAUUAGAAUUGUUAUCCAACAUCCUCAUCCCAAUGAUGAUAAUUGCAGUGAUGUUUUCAAAGUUUGGUACCGUUGAACAUAAAUUACAUUAAUAAUUCGCUAAUCAAUCCAUGUUAGAAUCUCCAUCCAAGCAGCCAAAACAUUGACACUGGCAUGAAAAUAUGGAUAUUGUUCUUUUUAAAUUAGCUUCUUAAAAGUUUGGCAACUAUUAUACCUUAUCUAUCAUUUCCUGUAAAGCUCUCAUGUCUUGUCCGGGUUAUACAUAACUUUUUAUUCUUUGUGGUUUUAUCAUUACUUGAAAGUCUGUACAAUGUACGACAAUGAUGUAUUAGCUUUUCGAUUUUUGUAAAUAUUUUCCUGAGUGGUACAAAAUUGACAGCAAUGUCGACUUAUAUUCUUGGAUAUUGUGUCUAGGAGGGGACAUUUCCCUUCUGUCAUCGAUCAAAAAUACACCAGAAGCUAUACCAGAGCAGUGUAUUUUCUGAAAUUACAAUCAGUCUGAGCUUAAUAAACGACAAGCAAAUAUUGGCAGUCAACCUUUCUUUCAAAGAAAUAUUAGACAUUAAGGCUGACAUUUGUUUUUCUUUUAAUAAUAAACAAAAGGAAUGCAUUCUUGAUUCACAAACAUGGUUUUAGAAAUAGCUAAUUUAUAUUGUAUCCAGCUUACUUCUCAAAUAAUUGAUUUUUUUUCUUUAGAAAUUUGUAUGGAAAUACUAUCAGCAGUUUACCAGAUGGAGUGUUCUCAAAGAACAUAAACCGGAGGACAGUGUUAGUUUGAUAAAGAAAUAAUUCAUGGCAGCCGUAGAUUUGUUUUCUUUUAACCAUGGGUUGGGCAUUUAUAUUCGAAUAUUUUACCCUAAGCGUUAGCGUUACUAAAUAUUAAUCAGUAAAGUUCUUUUUAGAAACUUAGAGAGAAACAGGAUAUCAACCAUAGCUGCAAAAACGUUUGAGGUUCUUGUGUCAUUGAAAUUUC
rnacentral:lncRNA from 1 species